rnacentral:rRNA from 1 species
AGUGAACGCUGGCGGCGUGCCUAACACAUGCAAGUCGAACGAUGAUGGAGAGCUUGCUCUCCUGAUUAGUGGCGCACGGGUGAGUAUACCAUAGAUAAUGUACCUCUUAGUUCGGGAUAGCCACUGGAAACGGUGAUUAAUACCGGAUACUCCUUCUCGUCUUAAGGCAAGUCGGGAAAGUUUUUUCGCUAAGAGAUCAGUCUAUGUCCUAUCAGCUAGUUGGUGAGGUAAUGGCUCACCAAGGCAAUGACGGGUAUCUGGUUUGAGAGGAUGAUCAGACACACUGGAACUGAGACACGGUCCAGACUCCUACGGGAGGCAGCAGUGAGGAAUAUUGCACAAUGGAGGAAACUCUGAUGCAGCAACGCCGCGUGGAGGAUGACGCAUUUCGGUGUGUAAACUCCUUUUAUAUAGGAAGAUAAUGACGGUACUAUAUGAAUAGGCACCGGCUAACUCCGUGCCAGCAGCCGCGGUAAAAC